UACGUAGGGUGCAAGCGUUGUCCGGAAUUAUUGGGCGUAAAGAGCUCGUAGGCGGUUUGUCGCGUCUGCUGUGAAAACUCAGGGCUUAACCCUGAGCCUGCAGUGGGUACGGGCAGACUAGAGUGUGGUAGGGGAGACUGGAAUUCCUGGUGUAGCGGUGAAAUGCGCAGAUAUCAGGAGGAACACCGAUGGCGAAGGCAGGUCUCUGGGCAUUAACUGACGCUGGAGGAGCGAAAGGCAUGGGGAGCGAACAGG
rnacentral:rRNA from 1 species